GAUGAACGCUGGCGGCGUGCCUAAUACAUGCAAGUCGAGCGAACAGACGAGGAGCUUGCUCCUCUGACGUUAGCGGCGGACGGGUGAGUAACACGUGGAUAACCUACCUAUAAGACUGGGAUAACUUCGGGAAACCGGAGCUAAUACCGGAUAAUAUAUUGAACCGCAUGGUUCAAUAGUGAAAGACGGUUUUGCUGUCACUUAUAGAUGGAUCCGCGCCGCAUUAGCUAGUUGGUAAGGUAACGGCUUACCAAGGCAACGAUGCGUAGCCGACCUGAGAGGGUGGUCGGCCACACUGGAACUGAGACACGGUCCCGACUCCGACGGGAGGCAGCAGUAGGGAAUCUUCCGCAAGGGGGGAAAGCCUGACGGAGCAACGCCGCGUGAGUGAUGAAGGUCUUCGGAUCGUAAAACUCUGUUAUUAGGGAAGAACAAAUGUGUAAGUAACUAUGCACGUCUUGACGGUACCUAAUCAGAAAGCCACGGCUAACUACGUG
rnacentral:rRNA from 1 species